AACCCCAUUUGAUCCUGAGAUUGACAGAACUUUUCAUCACAACCUGCGAACUGUAAACCAACCGUCGAUCUCUACAAUGGGUGAACAUAUUAGAACCCUAAAUGAAUUGUUUGCACCCGCAUCCGCUAGUCCCCCUACUUGCAUAGUAUUACCAAUUAAUAAUGCAGUCCAAUUCGAGAUUCGGGCUGCAACAAUAAACAUGUUACCCAAGUUUCAUGGGUU
rnacentral:lncRNA from 1 species